rnacentral:rRNA from 1 species
GACGAACGCUGGCGGCGCGCCUAACACAUGCAAGUCGAACGAGCGAGAGAGAGCUUGCUUUCUCGAGCGAGAGGCGAACGGGUGAGUAACGCGUGAGGAACCUGCCUCAAAGAGGGGGACAACAGUUGGAAACGACUGCUAAUACCGCAUAAGCCCACGGCUCGGCAUCGAGCAGGGGGAAAAGGAGCAAUCCGCUUUGAGAUGGCCUCGCGUCCGAUUAGCUAGUUGGUGAGGUAACGGCCCACCAAGGCGACGAUCGGUAGCCGGACUGAGAGGUUGAACGGCCACAUUGGGACUGAGACACGGCCCAGACUCCUACGGGAGGCAGCAGUGGGGAAUAUUGCACAAUGGGGGAAACCCUGAUGCAGCGACGCCGCGUGGAGGAAGAAGGUCUUCGGAUUGUAAACUCCUGUUGUUGGGGAAGAUAAUGACGGUACCCAACAAGGAAGUGACGGCUAACUACGUG